CAGGCAUUCAUUUCCAAUGUUUCAGGAGAAAGACUUGAUCACAAUGACAGCUGGGAUGAAUGUGGUCAUGGUUUAAGCUAUAGACAGCCUUGCAGACAAUCACCCUGGUCGCAAAAACGGAGCCAGGAAAUUCUCUGUGGAGCGACGAGGAGAUAAAAGCCCUCUUUACCAUUGUGGGAUUUAUCGCAGCGCAAAACAAUGUAAGGAGAAGAUGAAGAAACUCAAAAACAGGCCAGAGUGAGUCGAACAGGAAAACGAGCAAAUGGUAUGACACACAAUACUUCAUAUUGGGCCACAGACUGGCGUACUCUGGCAACGCCACAACAAAGGACUCAUCUGCUGAGCUUUUGCAGUUUGUUGGGUGAUACAGAGUGAAAACAACCCACCCUCCUAGCUGCUUGAAGCAACUACACACCAGCUUCCUGCUUGUCCGGCUUUACAAAUUAUCAGCCAACACCACCCAGCUGCCAUCCCAGACCUGCAAAGAGGAGAAAGAAAGACACACUGGUUGCUGCUAUGCAGGAAUUGCUGGCUUCGGACACGGAACAGAAAAGGCAGAGUGAUGCGCGGUUUAACAGAAUGAUAAAGCUAUUCGAAGACCAAACUCAAAAGGAAGCAGAGGAGUGUCAGGCUACGGUCAAGAGUUAGCAGAGGCCAUCCGGCAGCAGAUUUUCAUGGAGGGUCUUCUGGACGUCAUGAACCUUAAUUUGAAAAAAUAUAGAAGUGUAAACUAAAUUUUGCACAUUUAUUCUAGUGUUUGAUAGAUCUUUAAUUAAAAGAAAUUACUUUGAAUAACACAAUGUGGUGUUUUAUGUCGGAUUACUAGUACACUUAACAUGUGGCUAGCAAUACAGUGUGUGAAUAGUUAACACAUGACACCACACUAUUUAUUCGCAGUACGACGAAAAGCAGUACAUAACAUCACAAUUAUCAACAUGGCAAACUGGAAAUGUCUAAAUUAAACUGAAAACAUAACGAAAUUAAAUUGCUUCUGGAUCAUAGAGCCGAGGCAGAGAGUCCAUCGUCCAUCUUUGGAAAUGUUUGGUUUAUUUUGUAGAGA